CCGCCUAGUCUCGGGUCGUGUGACCACAUCUCCCCGCCCUCUCGCCCGGUUGCCUCCAGGUUCUGAGAAGAUGGCGAAGGUCUCAGAGCUUUACGAUGUCACAUGGGAAGAAAUGCGAGAUAAAAUGAGAAAAUGGAGAGAAGAAAACUCACGAAACAGUGAGCAAAUUGUGGAAGUUGGAGAGGAAUUAAUUAAUGAAUAUGCUUCUAAGCUUGGAGAUGAUAUUUGGAUCAUAUAUGAACAGGUGAUGAUUGCGGCCCUCGACUAUGGUCGGGAUGACUUGUCAUUGUUUUGUCUUCAGGAGUUGAGAAGACAGUUCCCUGGCAGUCACAGAGUCAAGCGACUAACUGGCAUGAGAUUUGAAGCCAUGGAGAGAUAUGAUGAUGCUAUACAGCUAUAUGAUCGAAUUUUACAAGAAGAUCCAACUAACACUGCUGCAAGAAAGCGUAAGAUUGCCAUUCGAAAAGCCCAGGGGAAAAAUGUGGAGGCCAUUCGGGAACUGAAUGAGUAUCUGGAACAAUUUGUUGGAGACCAAGAAGCCUGGCAUGAACUUGCAGAACUUUAUAUCAAUGAACAUGACUAUGCUAAAGCAGCCUUUUGUUUAGAGGAGCUUAUGAUGACUAAUCCACACAACCACUUAUACUGUCAGCAGUAUGCUGAAGUUAAAUAUACCCAAGGUGGACUUGAAAAUCUUGAACUUUCAAGAAAGUAUUUUGCACAGGCAUUGAAACUGAACAACAGAAAUAUGAGAGCUUUGUUUGGACUUUACAUGUCUGCAAGUCAUAUUGCUUCUAAUCCAAAAGCAAGUGCAAAAACAAAAAAGGACAACAUGAAAUAUGCUAGUUGGGCAGCUAGUCAAAUAAACAGAGCUUAUCAGUUUGCAGGUCGAAGUAAGAAGGAAACCAAAUACUCUCUCAAGGCAGUCGAAGACAUGCUGGAAACACUGCAGAUCACCCAGUCUUAAGGUUGAAGAACUCCUUUCAGCAUUUCUUAUAAGGCACAUCUAGUGGUGAUUAACUCCCUCAGCUGUUGUUUGUUAGGAAAGUGUUUAUCUCACCUUCAUUUCUGAUGGACAACUUUGCCAGACCGGGGCACGAACCUGUGUCCCCUGCAUCGGCAGGCGGACUCUCAACCACUGCGCCACCAGGGAAGUCACAAUGAUAGUGGUUUUUAUUACCAGUUAAAAUAAGGCCAGAUUGGAUAUAAUCAUCACAGUCAUUUAUUUUAUUAGCAGUGCUUUUUGAGCUACAAGAAAUACUAGUGCACUUUUAAAGAAUUUUGAUCAGACAGAUUGAACUAAUGGGUCUGAAGAUCAUUUUGAGGCAAAUUUGCACAUUUAUCAUGCUUUUACUCAUUAAUGUGUAUUUUAUUAUUUUCUUGUGUUAUCUUUCUUCAACCAGUGACUGAUUAUGGGUAUAAACUAGGUAAUAAGGGACCAAAAACAGAUGAUUUAAAACUAAGCAAUGAUUAAUACCUUCAUGAUGACUGGCAAUGCUUUGCUGAGUUAUAAACUGACAGUGUCUAUGUAUGGAGGCCCUUCCUCUGAUUUCCAAUAAUCACUGUACGUUCUUACAGCAUUUGCACUCUUAGGCUCUCCAGAUUUCAUUUUAGAUGGAUAUUUUUAAAAAGUUAUUAACAUAUUAAGUAGAUACUGAAACAGAUAACAUUGUUAAUUUAACAUCAUGAUUCCUUAUAAGACCUUUGUGAACCCAUGAUGAUUACUAUUUGGGAAAUGGCCAUACAGAAACUGAUAUAGGCAUAGGCUUCCAUGUAAUUCUUAAGGAAAAGAGAGAAUUUAGAAAGGAGAGUAGAAAGUUAGGGAUUAAAGUUUAAGGCUUACUAAAAUUUGGGGAGUGGAAGAAGAAAAAAUAGUAGAGGAUAGAGAACUAAGGAAAUAUAAUUACAGAGGAAUAACCAUUGAAUGAAUGACAUUACAUACUUUAUCUCAUUUCAUACGCAGUUUAAAUGAGAAAGUUACAACUAAGAAAGAUGAAUAAUUUGCCCCCAGUCACCCAAUAAAUGGUAGAGCAAUGAUGAUUCAAAGCAAGAUCUGUAAUAAAGUUUAUGCUUUAUCCUCCUCAGCAUUCCAUCUCUCUCAUUCAGAGAUGUCAGAAGAGAAUCAGAAGAGGGAUGAUAUAAUAAAAAUUAAAGGAAGAAUUUUAACAAGAAAGUAUUCUGCAUUAGAUGUGGCAGGGGUGUCAGGCAAAAAUAGAUCUCAGAAAAGAUCACUGGAACUGGCAGAGGCCUUGAAGGGCAAAGCAAUAUUCUAUGGAGUUAAGGGGACUUUCUCUGUUAACACAAGACUUGUGCUUUAUGCUACUAGUGUGGUAUCUUGCUCAUUUUUUCCUGGUAUCCCUAAGGCUUAGCAUAACAUUUUGCCUACAGUAGGCACAAGGCUAAGAUCUUGCAAAUAUAUGACUGAUGUAGAUUAUAGGUCUAAAAGGUCUUGAAACAGCCUGGUGGAUAUUGAAGAUCCAAAGGGUGAUGGCACUCUGAAGGGCGAUCCACAGAAGGACUGAUGAUUUGAAGAUGGUGGUAAAUGAACAUAAUAUGAUGUUAAAUGGUGAAAAACAAAGAUGGGUGGUAUACGAAUCAUUGGGACCUGCUUCUGGGGACCAAGAAGGUUGUGCCUCUCCCUUACUCUGUCUCUUCCUAGCCACUGUGAAUCAGUAAUAGCACCAAAACCCACAAGUUUGGAUGAAGUUGGGGGGGCAUGUCACAGAAAUUUUGGUCUAUUUUAAAUUGAUGACAACUUAAAAUUUUAAAGAACUUGUUAUAUAAAAAUGUACUAACGAUGAUAAACGUUUUUUCAAUAGGUGAAGAAAAAACAUUUAGUAUAAUAACAUACACAUUUAUGAAUUUAAAAAAUCAAUGAAAAUUGGGCAAAGUACAUGAACAGGUCAUUUAAAGAAGGAGAUACUUAGCAAAAUACAGUUCAAUAAAUAUUUAUUGAAUAAAACGUAGGCUAUGGUAGAAUUAGAUUUAUACCAUAAGAAGGAGAAAAAACAAGUAGCUUGAUUACCAAGAGCUUUGUAUGUCAUACUUUGGAGCAUGGAAUUUAUCCUGUAGAUGGUUGGAGUCUACUAAAGUGUGUCCACAUUGAAGUAACUAUUUUAUUAGCACUGUAG